UAUGAAAUAAUUGGAAUAUGUUUUAUGCUACAUAUGCCAUGUAACAUAUCUCUGUAACUGUUAUGAUCUACUGAACAUAUUCACUCUAUUUGUAUGCAUGCAUCAUUUUUGUACUCGAAGUUAUGAAUAUUAUCUGUGUACUUGCUUGAUUUCUAAG